rnacentral:rRNA from 1 species
ACGAACGCUGGCGGCGUGCUUAACACAUGCAAGUCGAACGAAGAGCGACGGAAGCUUGCUUCUAUCAAUCUUAGUGGCGAACGGGUGAGUAACGCGUAAUCAACCUGCCCUUCAGAGGGGGACAACAGUUGGAAACGACUGCUAAUACCGCAUACGAUCUAAUCUCGGCAUCGAGGAUGGAUGAAAGGUGGCCUCUACAUGUAAGCUAUCACUGAAGGAGGGGAUUGCGUCUGAUUAGCUAGUUGGAGGGGUAACGGCCCACCAAGGCGAUGAUCAGUAGCCGGUCUGAGAGGAUGAACGGCCACAUUGGGACUGAGACACGGCCCAGACUCCUACGGGAGGCAGCAGUGGGGAAUCUUCCGCAAUGGACGAAAGUCUGACGGAGCAACGCCGCGUGAGUGAUGACGGCCUUCGGGUUGUAAAGCUCUGUUAAUCGGGACGAAAGGCCUUCUUGCGAAUAGUGAGGAGGAUUGACGGUACCGGAAUAGAAAGCCACGGCUAACUACGUG